rnacentral:pre_miRNA from 1 species
GCUCCCGUCAGAGUGGCUGUGAUGUGUCCUUAUUUGUUUCAUAUCACAGCCAGCUUUGAUGAGCGCAA